UACGUAGGGUGCGAGCGUUGUCCGGAAUUAUUGGGCGUAAAGAGCUCGUAGGCGGUGUGUCACGUCGGCCGUGAAAACCUGCAGCUUAACUGUGGGCGUGCGGUCGAUACGGGCAUCACUGGAGUUCGGCAGGGGAGACUGGAAUUCCUGGUGUAGCGGUGAAAUGCGCAGAUAUCGGGAGGAACACCGGUGGCGAAGGCGGGUCUCUGGGCCGAUACUGACGCUGAGGAGCGAAAGCGUGGGGAGCAAACAGG
rnacentral:rRNA from 1 species